rnacentral:tRNA from 1 species
GGUGUAGCUCAGUGGCAGAGCACAAGCUUAGAGUACUUGAGGACCUGGGCUCAAUCCCCAGAACCA